rnacentral:lncRNA from 1 species
CGUGACUCCCCGCCGCGCGGGCUGCCUCUGACGCCGGCCGCCGCUGCUCCCCGCUCGUCCCCUCCGUGGAGGCAGGGCCGCUCGGGCUCCUUCCGCGAGGACGCCUGUGCCUCUCUCCACCAGGGUAUCAGCCAGGGCCAGAAGACAGCAAGAUCAAAAUGGAAGCCAAUACAGCAAACAGAAGAAGAAUUCAGGAGCAUCUCUCCAGAAAUAAGGCUGUCCAGGUAAUUCUGAUGCUACUACCAUGUGGAACCACUCCCUUCGCUAAUUUCACACACCCCAGAUCAGGAGCAGAAAACAGGACCCAUGCUUGUCCAAUUAGAGUAAAUGUCAGGAAUUUAUCAGAAGCUCCCAGAAGAUUCCUGUUAUUCCAGCUGUCUUGGAAUCAGUUUCCUGUACAGCUGGCUUAUAAU